CGCCCCCACCCCUCCCUCCCGCGGGGCCUCUGCCGAAGAAGCUGCUCCUGCGUCACAUGACCCGCUUCAGCAGGAGGAGAGAAGCGGUCUUUGUUCCCGCAUCCUCCAUGACUGCCUGUCGCGGCACAGUGCUGGGGCCGGCCCCGAUCCCACAGAGCAUCAGGGAGCUCGCCCGGCAGACACCUGGUCCUCCGCUCGGCACUGGUUUGGACCCAGGGACAUACAUUCCGGCUUCCCUGUGACAGCAGAGUAGUUUCCUUGCUUUCUCGGUGAGUCUCAUGGUGCCUUAGGGACCCUUCGUGCGCUCCGGAGCCUCAAAGUAACCCCCCAACACAGUCACACGGAUGUGCAAACACACAUUUCCCCACCCAAAGGGGACACACCACCCACGGAAAGGGUCCCCCCACGUGUGUGUUUUUGCUUAACUAAAACACGAUGAGUCACAAAAUAAAAUCACAUUAAGACCUGCACUUAGUUGAAAUAUUAAAAAUUGGGAUUGUGUGGUGAAUUCCAAGGUACGGGGUAAGAAACCCAGAGUGAGAGGACGAAAUACAAGUCCCACGGGCGUCCGUGACCCUGGGGAGCCGCAGGGCCCUGGCGAGGCGCGCUCCGCCUUGCCCGCGUCGGACGUCUCGCCCUUGUCUGGAGGCCCGUGCGUUCCCUUUGGUCCGGGCUCCGCGGCCUGGCGUCCCCAGCCCCGCGCUCCCCGGCCUCCUCCGCCGCGCCUGGAGGGAGAGGAGGCUCUGGGAGGGCGCUGGGUCCGAGGCCCGCCGGGCCACUGCGGCCGUGCGCGCGCCGGCCUCGUGGGUCCUCUGAGCGUUCAUCUCCCCAUUUGGGAAUGUGAGGCAGGGCGCCGACCUCCCAGGACGCGUGGGGCUCGGCCAAGAGGACGCACGAGUCUCAGGGGGUGACCGGCUCUCACCCGCCCGGCUGACCCCGCCAGGACGCGCGCGGCCACGCGCUCUGCGCGCCCCCUCCCGCGCGCCCGGCAGGCCUGCUCCUCUGCCUCCGGCCUGACCGUCGCCCCCUCGACGCCUGGCUCCCAGGCCGGCCUCGCCCAGCCUCCUCAGCUCCGGCCCACGCUCCGCGCUCAGCCCGCGCCGGCUCUGCGCCCUGCCCUCCAUUGUUCAUGGUCCUGCGACAAGCCGUGUGUGCCUGGAGGGCAAGGUCACACCCCGCUGCUCAGAGCUCGGCCUGUGGGAAAGCCGCUGAAGGAAGCGAGGCCAGUGAGGAGCACGAACCCCAGCUCUGCGGCUGCGGGCCAGCUUCUCAGUGGCAACCCCUUUCCCGCUCUGCUUUCCCGACUCCUGGCUCGGCGUCCGCGCCCCUCCCGCAGCUCGAGGGCGGCUCCCCGCCUCGCCUGCCUGGGGAGGAACCUUCUGUUCUUCACUCCUGUGCCUCCAGAGCCGGAGGCAGGAGCCAGACGGGCCCUAAGAGGGGUUGAAUCGAGGCUCCUGUGGGGUCUGGGGUGGAGGGAAGGGGUCGGCCUCCUGCGUGGCCCUCGGCGGGCCUGCCCAGUCUGGUCGCAGAGGCUGAGCGGACUCACGCGCGAGCUGUCUUCUGGGCGGGGCGGGGCUGCACCGAAGCUUACCUGGUUAAAUAGCCCUACCGACAUUUAUUAAAGAGUCAUAGGAAAACCUCACCAGAGUAGAUUCUGCCUGUGAAUACCAGUGACGCGGUUCAACUUGUUUCCAUCCACUUUCCGCUUUUUUCCCCUCUGGAGCAAACUGAUAGGAUUAUCUGAUUUUCCUUUUGUACCAGAGCCUGAUGACGUCAGAAACCGGGCAGGGGUUUUCUUUUGUGUGCUAAGAAAUGCUAAGGGACAGCUGCUGCCAGCAAAAAUAUUUCCUCUGCGCUUGUGAAGGGUGAGUGGGAGAAGCGGUGAUGGGGGCAGGUAGAUGUGUGGGAAUACUAGCCUUUUGGGGCAUUCGAGGACUGAGCGGGGCAAUUCGUACAAAGAUGAAUGAUUCUUCUAGCACCAAGAAAGUUUAGGGAGACUGGUUGAAGGCCAGUGCCCAUCCAGAUGGAGACGCCUGUGGAGGGGAUGAUCCAGCCAAUGCCGAUGAAUGGGAUGUGAGAGGAUGAGAGGGGUCCAGGAAGAUGCCAAGGUUCUGGACCCGACCUCCUGGAGAAUGCAGCUGUCUGAGAGGAGGGAGACGGUGGAAAGGCAGGCUGUGCGUAUUAAGUGAGGGGUUUCUAGCGCAAGUUCAGGUGGAGAUGAUGGGUGGGCAGCUGACUCCAUAGGUUGGAGCUCAGGAAGGAGGUUGGUGCCAGAGACACACAUUUGGGAGUCAUCACUGUUUGGAAGGUACACAAGCCGUGGGCUGUGGGACAUCCCCCCAGGGAGAGCAGCUAGAGGAGAGAAGGAUACUGGGGCAGUCCCAUGGAGGAGGCUGGGACUGUGACGAGAACCAGCAGAGGAGCCUGUGAAGGUGGGGCUGGGAGGAAGUCAGCGGUGCCCUGGGGCGAGGAAGACACUUGAGUCGUCGCUCCAGACUUCCAUAGCUGGAGGUCUUGGUGACCUUGGCAGAAGCAGUUUAGGGAAGGGCAGGGCGGCCGAUUGGAGUGAGUUCAGGAGAGAAGGGCAGAAGAGGAACUGGAGACAGCCACAGGAAGCCUUUCCCUGAGUUCUGCUGCGGAGGGAAGCAGAGACAUGCAAAGGUAGACUGUGGAGACAAAGAAAGACACUAUCUAGGAUCACGUCUGUCUGCCAUGAGAAGAGUCUAGCAGACAGGAGAAAACCGGCAGUGCAGGAGAGAGAGGUGACAGUCGCGUGCAUACUGUCUGUGAGAAGGGAGAGGCGAGGGCCCAAGUGCAGGAGUGGAGGGCGCCUGCAGGUGGGAGCGGACAGCGGCUCUGUCCUAAUGGAGAGGAAGGGGACCUGAUGGGCUCGGUUGUAGGUAGUCUGUUGGGUUUGGUGGGAGGAACAGAUUUGGAGCAGAAUGUGAAUUAUCAUAUAGUCUUCAGAUUAGAGGCCGCCUUUAAUUCCUUGGGGUGGUGAACACAGUUUAGGGCUGCACCUCUCCACUCCCGGCCACUGGGGCUCCUCAGCAGAGAAUACGGACAAAAGCUGGUCAGCAGAUGCAGUAAGUCUCAGUAAACCAUAUAUAUAUGUAAACCAUAUAUAUAUAUACACACACACAUAUAGUCACUGUGGCCGGGACAGCGGUGCUCAUCAAACAUUCCGUCUGACCCCCACGUUUUGCACACAACCCCCUGCUUCGCCCCCGGCAGGUAGGCAGUGACGAGUGACUAUUUCUGGCUAAUGGGCUACAAGAGGAUUUGAUGUGUCACUUCUGGGUCGGAGCAUCAGAAGCCCAGACCCAACACUGCAGCUCCUCCUUCUCCUGCUGUGACCCCAGGUGUCAGUCUGGGUCCCUGAGGACUAUAUGGAGCAGAACCUCCAUCUCACCUCCUACCUCUGCCUCCUCCACCUUCCAUACCAGGCUAGACACACAUCAUGAGGUAAAGACAGACGUGGUUGCAUCAAGCCAUUGUUCCAGGGUUGAAAUGUAACCGAAGCAUAACCCGGCCUAUGACUAACCCAAACAGCACAUUAGCUGCCACAGCAUAUCACAGAGCUUGGGGUGACCUGGACAAAGGCCCAAGGAUCUCAGGAGAGACUCCAUGAUGCUGUAAACAUCCUGGACGAUCUGGAGGCCUGCCGAUUGCACACUGGGCACGCCGGGGCAGCUCCGUCUUCAGAUGGCCGGUACGCAUCACAAAUCCAGGACUCACCUCUCCUCGCCUGGAGGCGAGGUAACAGGUGUCCUCCCCACAGAGCACUUUCCUUAUCCAGCAUCUAAAAAAGCCUGUAAUUCUUGGCCCCUCAUGAAAUUCACACCAGAUAAAGGCUCACUACCCAAACUCGUGGCAGAAAGACGGUGGGGAUGAGUCAAAACACCCAAGCCCUGGGCCCGCUCUUCAAGCAGACAGCCGGUGGGCUGGCCUCUUUUGCGGUCUGCGGCUCGUUGCUUCUGCAUUUGUGGGCUACCUGGGAAACAGGAUCUGCUGUUGCAUCGGAAUGUUCUAAAGCUGCAGAGGCUAGAGAAAAGCCUCUGACAGCUCCCGGGUGAAGAGCAGGAACCCGGGCCGGCCCUCCCUGUCUGGGAGGCAGGCAGCCCUGCACCUAACCCGCUUCCUUCCCACCUGCCACCUGGUGGUAAACUGAAGAAUUACACCCUCCUGCUUAGGGCUUACCGGGCGGCGGAUCUUGUUACCUUUCUCCUUCUUAUCAGAUCGUCACCGGCUAUUAGCUCUGGAAGGCGCCUUAGAGGGACAACAGCCUUAUCUCCUUCUGACCAGCCAGGAUGGUGACUUCUUUUCAACCUACUGGGCUUGGACACAACAGCUCAAAGUGCCCAGUGGCAGCCAUACACAGCUAUUGUUAGUGGGACCCCUGCCGUGGCGUGGCCCCUGGUGGAAGUGUCCUCCCGUGGGAAGCAGGACCUCUAACCCUGCAGUCUAACAAACUGCUGGCCCCUCUGGGUGGAGAGCGCCCGACGUCACCAACUUGCGACCACGUGGCCGCCUGAUCUCCUUGAGGAGUGGUGCCAUAACAGAGCCUCAGCCUGGAUCUCUGCUGGGAGGUAGGGUGUUUGGUGGCAGUAGCGAGACGGACUUUGGUAAGUGGAAUUCCAUACUGUUGCCCUUGCAUAACCUCCAUCUCUGCCCCCAUGGCUAUUCGGUUCCCGGCCCACUGUGCCAGCCCUGGGGUGGUGGAAGACAGUGGGCUGACUAACAUCAACUAACAGAGUCAUUUUGUCUACUUAGUCACUUAAUUCCUCUUCUCUUCUGGAUGUUCUCUGCUGGCUGAUAACAUGUGAUACAGUAAUCCUCACACUUUGUGGUCCCUCCAUCCACAUGCCUCUUCCCCAGACCUCCUUAUCCUGCAUCUUCCAGUCUUUCUCCCAACAGGUCCCUGACUAGCCGGGCCAGGUCAUUCACACUGCCCAUGAGCCUGUAUGUACCCUGAGCUCAGGCUUCUGCUCUGUCCACACAAAAGGGAUGACCAGAUGCACUGCCAGAGUGAGGCUGUGGUGCAGCUGCCAUCCAUUUGUAGCUUGUACCUACCUACUGACCCAUCCGAACACCAGGCUCCAGUGUUUACCUCAUUCUUCAGCUAUUUCUGUGGCAUUCCCCAUAUGGCCAUAGGUGUGAACUGAAGACAAGGCAUUGGUGAAACAGAGGUGACCGCGACGUAAUGCAGCAAUGUGAUAUUUUCUGGAAUGUCUAGACAGUCUAGGCCUCUUCGGACUACACUGUGACAGAGGGUGGGGAGUUAACAUAGUCCUGGGCACAGCUAUAAAUGAAUAUUGUUGACAAUCCCAUCUGAAUGCAAACUGUUUCUGCUCCUCUUUUCUGAUUGGAACAGAAAAUAAUGUAUUUCCCAAAUACCUGGCCACGUGACGCGUACCUGAGGCCUUCUUAUACUGCCCUAGCAAGGAGACCACGAGUGCUGUGGCAGCUGCACUUGGGACGGCUUCUUGGUUGAGUUUAUGGUAGUCUGUUGCCAUCUUCCAGGAUUCAACUGGUGAAGCAGAGACAGGAUGAGGACCACCACCACUGCAUCCUUUAGAUCCUUAAGGGUGGCCCUCAUUUCCACCAUCCUCCCUGGAUGCAAUAUUGCUUAGCUGAGGAAGGGGCAGUUUCAUAGGCUUCCACUUGGCUUUCUCCACUGCAAUGGCUCUUAGCCCACAGGCCAAGGACCCAAGGUGGGGAUUGUGCCAACUUCCAAGUAUGUCUGUCCCAAUUACAUAUUCAGGGACCAGGCAAGUGGCCCCAGAUAGGUCUGCUGACCCAAUGGAUCCUUGGCCAGGACUCCACUUAUGUCUGGUUCCUCCAUGACCCCACUCUAACAGGAGGACCAUGAUGACACUUCAGGUCUCCAGAUCUCAAUUCCAACUCUGACCCUUGAAAUGACUGGAUCGUCCUCUUUCCCUAGUGUACUGUUAUCUGAGUAAAUGGCCAUUGGUCCCUUUGCGGAAGGGUUGGGUGCUCAUACUGUGUAUACCUGCCAUGGUUUUGCAGGGGACCCGGCCAGCUCUUCAGUUCUUGGGUUCCAGGUCCAGAAAGUGAGCAAGGGACCAUAAGAUUUUAUUGAGGUGACUGCCCUCAGCAUCUUGAUCAUCCAUCCUUAAUUUCUUCUGAUGGUAUAAGGUAAAUACUACGCUUGUAGUAGUCAGCCUCAGCUGAUCCUAUGGGUACUCUGGACUGAAAACAGUCCAUCACCGUCCUGCACUGUGGUGGAAUGGCCUUGCCUUUCUACUGCUGCCUCUAUCAAUCACUGGAUUUGGGCUGCACGGGGAAGGGGAUGCAGACUCCAAAAGAGGUGACGGUAGAAGGUUUUCUGCUAACAGCAUUUCCAGCAGAUGAGACAAGUCCUUUCCUGAAGAGGAAUCUGGUGGCACACCUCAGAGUCCACCACAGAGUCAGUGGGGAAGCUGCCACGGUUGAUGGAGUCAGGUUCCUGAGGACAUGGACGACAGUGUCAGAGCACAGAUGGGUAGAUUAACCUUUGACAAGAGGUGGGGCAUUUCUCACCAUAAUAAGGGGGAGAGAAGGCGGUAAGAAUGGGGUUAGCUAAGGGUCUGAGUAGACGGACAAGGAGUUGGGGAAAUCAACCCCCAUAACCUCUGUUUUCUUUGUAAAAUCAGAAGCAAGGUCAGCUGCUGAACUGGGUCUUGGGUAGGUUAGGGCUUGAGGAGACUAGUCCUCAAAGGAGAGAGGACGCAAUCUAAGGACUGCAGGGCAGUGUUGAAGGGGCAGCUGAUGUCGGGUGGCAUGGUGUUGGGUGGCAUGACUGGUUGUGCCCACGUCUGCUGGGUCACGUGGGUCUCCCUGUGGUGCUCAGAGGCCAGCUGCAGGAGCAGAGAGGAGCACGCUUUGACCGUGCUGGUAGACGUGGGAGGCCGGUGAGGCAAUAGGGUGUUAACCAGUUAUCUUAGUUACCCCAGAGACUUCUUUCAGAUUCUUAGAUAGAAACUCUCCAUUUUAAAGACUGUGUUCGUUUUCCAGGAGGACAAAGCAUUAGAGGACCUCAGAGGUGAGGAGUGGGGAGACCAUCCACUCCAUUAGUCCAGGUUAUCAAUUCUUCUUUUGUGGAUCAUGCUUUUGGAGUUUUAUCUAUGGAAGCUUUGUUUAAUUAAAGGUUAUAAAUGUUUUCUCCCAUGUUUUCUUCUAGAAGUUUUAUAGUUUUAAGUUUUAUGUUUAUGAACAAUUUUGAGUUCAUUUUUGUGUAUGGUGUACAGUAUGAAUUGAGGUUCAUUAGGAAUUAGGAAACUGAAAAUUAAAGCCACAAUGAGAUAACACUAUCUACCUCUUACAAUGGCUAAAAUGAGAGACUGACGAUACCAAGUAGUUGACAUGGUCCUGGCUGUUUGGUGAGGAUGGGGAGGACUCAGAACUCUCAUACACUGCUGACAGGAAUGUACAGUGGUACGAUCACUAUGGAAAACAGCUUAACAGGUUCUUAAAAGCUUACACAUACAACUAGUAUAUAAUACAACCAUUCUACUCCUAGGUAUUGGUCUACGAGACAUGAAAGCAUAUGUCCAUACAGAGACUUACUUCUACACAUAUGUUCGCAGCAGCUUUACUGUCAUAUCUCCAAACUGGAGACAGCCCAAAUGAACAUCAACAUGUGAAGAGAUAAACAAUUAGUGGUUCAUCCAUACAAUGGGAUAGUGCUCAGCCAUAAAAAGGAAUGAAUUACUGAUAUACCCAACAACCUACAUGAAUCUCAAAAUAACUAUGGGUGAACAGGCAGACAAACAAAAUUGCACUUACUAUAUAAUUCCAUUUAUAUAAAACUCUAGAAAAUGCAAACUAAUCUGUAGUGACAAAAUGCAGAUCAGUGGUUGGGGACGAGGCAGGAAGGGGCUUGAGGAAAGCUUUGGGGAUGAUGGAUGUGCCAUCUUGAUUACAGAGAUGAUUUCAUGAGUUACACGUGUCCAAACUUCAAUUUGUAUACUUUAAAUAUGUGCAGUUAUUGUAUGUUGAUUAUACCUUAAUAAAGCUCUUAAAAAAUAUUGACUUGAAAAUUAGCUAUACAAUUGAAUCAUUGAUAACUAGCAAAUAGAACAAACCUGUAAAAAUACCCUUUUAAACUUCAAUGUAGUUCAACAGUUGCUUGUAACAGAAUCUGACAAAAUGGGCCGUUUGCUUUUACCACAUUCUCUCUUAACACACUGAAGGCUUCCUUAUAUCAACUCUGCAGUGUCCCAAAGUGACUAAGAUUAAAGGGUCCCGUAGCAUCAACCGUGUUUCCCAUGUACUCGCUCAUAAUCCUGUCCCCUC